rnacentral:tRNA from 1 species
GGCGAUCUAGACAAAACAAGUCCACCGUGGGCUUUGAAAAACGCUUUCCUUGAUAAAAUUUAAGCGUUUUAUAAGAGGAUGCCGGGGAAGGUUUUCCGGUUUAUCCCGGAGGGCUUGUAGCUCAGUUGGUUAGAGCGCGCGCUUGAUAAGCGUGAGGUCGGAGGUUCAAGUCCUCCCAGGCCCACCAGUUUAUCCAUUACUUUCAUAAGUGCUUUUAAAAAAUAAGUACUUCUAAAAAGAUUGCUUCUAAAAAGCUUAUCAAAAUUGGCAGGCUUAUUGCUUUUGUGUGAGUAAUCCAAAGUUAAAGCAAAUUAAUGGCAAAAAAACAGUUCAAAUGCUAAAUACUAAGGAGUCAAAAUUCCUUGCAAAGUGAUUUUUACAGCGUCCAUUUGGUUGAUAUAAAUUCCAAAUGCUCAUAGACGUCAAUGCCUAUAUGAAACUAUCGGUUCAAUCAUAUCGCUUUGAGUUAUAUAGAUUUUGUAAUCCCUCUUUUGAUCGUUUUAAACGCUUUAUCCUGAUUUAGGGGCCGUAGCUCAGCUGGGAGAGCACCUGGUUUGCAAGCAGGGGGUCGUCGGUUCCAUCCCGUCCGGCUCCUCCAUGCGACAUCCUCCCUGUUGUAAGAACAGAUUUGUAAAGGUUUGCGAACCUUUUGCUUGUUCUAUUGAAAUUGUGAAGAGAAACAUACUCCGACCUGUUCCUUUUGAAAGCUUUGCUCUGGAGGCAAGGUUUUUCUGUGCACACGUGUCUCAAAAUCACUUUCUCUCAAAUGGGCUCUUGUCUAAACG